AGGACGAACGCUGGCGGCGUGCUUAACACAUGCAAGUCGAGCGGUAAGGCCCUUUCGGAGGUACACGAGCGGCGAACGGGUGAGUAACACGUGAGCAAUCUGCCCUUCACUCCGGGAUAAGCCUCGGAAACGGGGUCUAAUACCGGAUAUGACCGCGCUACGCAUGUGGGUGUGGUGGAAAGUUCUGGCGGUGGAGGAUGAGCUCGCGGCCUAUCAGCUUGUUGGUGGGGUAAUGGCCUACCAAGGGCUUCGACGGGUAGCCGGCCUGAGAGGGUGACCGGCCACACUGGGACUGAGACACGGCCCAGACCUCCGUACGGGAGCAGCAGGUGGGAAUAGUUAGGACAAGUAGGCGAAAGCCUGAUCCAGCAACGCCGCGUGAGGAUGACGGCCGUUUCGGGUUAGUAAACCGUUCUUUCGUACGCCGACCGACGAAGCGAGGAGUGACGGUAGCGCAGGAAGAACGCACCGGCCAAC
rnacentral:rRNA from 1 species